CGCAAUCUUAAAUCUUUACUCUCACUGAUUGGCCGCUUUGACAAUUUUCUUGUCUUGGAAUGAACCAAUCUUUGCGUAAAUAUCUGUUACCAGUGAUAUAAGACGGAUGAAAAAAUAUCAGAUCGCAAUUUUUUAUACACAUGUAUUUACGUUCAAAGUUUUGUAGCUAAAAGGGUUUCUAACGCUUUAAGGAAAUAUGAUGUUUCCGGCGUUACAUACCAAUAUUAUGAAAAAUUGCUAUCUGAUCCUUUGUCAUCAGUCGUAUAUUCCUUUUUCUCAGACAUUUAAAAAAACCCACCUAUAAUGGACAUCUUGCGAAUAAUGACUAAUGAAUCGUAGCCACUUAAGACAUAGUAAGCUGAAUCUAAUUAUAGAUCAUCGUACGCAAUAUAGAAACCAAAUAUAUGGUAUAUAAUCAUGAACAACAUGGAUAAACUAUUAGAAUAAACCGAGCAACAGAAAAGAGGAAAACAACACAGAAAGACAAGCAACUCAUUUACUAAUAGUUAAAACACGUUCAACAUUAAAGAGAGCCUACAGAUUGUCAACAGUUAAAGAAAAAAGAUACUCAGCAAUGGCUUCCAUGAAAUCGCUCAUGUUCGUUAUGGUCUUAGUGGCUGUGACGUUGACGUCAGAUGGUCGUCGCCGUAGAGCUUGUCGGAAGGACGGCGCCACAGGAAACUGCGCGGAGGUUGUGGGACGGCGGGGAGCGCUCAAGGGAGUCGGACUGUGUCAGAAACAGGGCGGCACAUGCAUGCACUUCCUACGACGUGGCAGUACCAAGUGUGCGUGCAUUGAGGUGAAACCUGGCACCGUGAGAUUGUUCUAGUGUUGUGUAUUAAGGGACUUCAAAGACCAUGUGACCAUUGCUUUACGAAUGAUAGGAGCAGUUUUAUAACAGUACAGUCCGAAAGGUGAAAAUAAUUUCAUAAGAACAAAACGGCUAGUAAAUUCUUAAUGAAAUUUCCUCCUUAAUGAAAUACAGUUUACGGUUGUGUUCAGCAUGAUAUUUAUAUCAAAUACACACGAAAAUGGCAUUUUUAUUAUAAAAUUAUUUUACAUAUUUAAAUGAAAAUCGUCAACAUAAAUACAUGUACCAUUUACACAGAAAUGUGAAUCUUAUCUUGUAAAUACUCAUAUUGAAUGUAUUCCAUUAUUUAUUUUUCUGUGAUUGUGAUCGUAUUAUCAGUUUUGUUCGAUUAUUUUUACAUGUUUACUCUUUGAUCCCUUUUGAGAUGAUAUAUCAGUUUUACAUUCAACGAUUGCUUAUGAAAGAGCAUGUCCAAACAUAUGCACACUCAGUAUUUAAUAUACAAUGUUGUUUUUUCUUCUCAGUAUUUAUAACAAAAAGUUACUUUUAUUACAUUAAUAAAUUGUACAUUUGA